AUGUUGAAGAUUGAAGUUGAGAGAUUGAGUUUGUUAGAGCUGAGUGAUCCUGAGCCAUUGGAUUUGAAUUUCGGUUACAGGAUUGAACGGGUCUGCUUUGAUGAUGAGUUAUGGUUUUGGCAUGGUGUACAUGGCAUGGACGUCUCAAAAGGUAAGAAAGUGAAGAAACUUGAUGGAAUAAUAACAAGAUGGAAGCUUGAAGUUAGACUUUAG